ensembl:lincRNA
GACACUAGAUCCUGGCAUCUAGCCAGUAAGAAAUGAUAGAAUCUUGUUGGUUAUGACUGUAUUGGUAAGAUUUCCCAGUGGUACUUGGGAAUACAGUUCUGGACUCUGAAUGCUUAGAGAAGGAGCGUCCUAUGGCAUCCCUGACUGGCACUCUGUGGGGAAAGCAAGCAGCCACCUGCAUACACAGAAUGUCCUCACUGUCAUCGGAGAACAGAAAACGAAGGCAUGCGGGCACUAGGGAUUUCCUGCCCUCUUGUCCAUUUCCAGCUUCACAGGACUCUGUAAAUAAACUGUCUCCUGGUUGGUCAUGAAA